GACAGAGGGGGCAAGCGUUGCUCGGAAUUACUGGGCGUAAAGGGCGCGUAGGCGGGAUGGCAAGUCGGUCGUGAAAUCCCUCGGCUCAACUGAGGAGCGUCGAUCGAAACUGCCGUUCUUGAGGGUUGCAGAGGAGACUGGAAUUCCCGGUGUAGCGGUGAAAUGUGUAGAAAUCGGGAGGAACACCGGUGGCGAAGGCGGGUCUCUGGGCAACUCCUGACGCUGAGGCGCGAAAGCGUGGGGAGCAAACGGG
rnacentral:rRNA from 1 species